rnacentral:tRNA from 1 species
ACUCUGCUGGCGAAAAAAGGGCAGUUGCUGAGCAGCUUUGCGCUGCUGCGCGAUGACGGUUCUACCGCAUCGUCGUGUU